UACGUAGGGGGCAAGCGUUGUUCGGAAUUACUGGGCGUAAAGGGCGCGUAGGCGGGAUGGCAAGUCGGUCGUGAAAUCCUUCGGCUCAACCGAAGAACGUCGAUCGAUACUGCUGUUCUUGAGGGUUGCAGAGGAGACUGGAAUUCCCGGUGUAGCGGUGAAAUGUGUAGAGAUCGGGAGGAACACCGGUGGCGAAGGCGGGUCUCUGGGCAAUUCCUGACGCUGAGGCGCGAAAGCGUGGGGAGCAAACGGG
rnacentral:rRNA from 1 species